AGAGGUGAAAUAAUUACGUAUAGUGUAACGGUGCCCUAAUUCUCCUCCCUCGCUGCACACAACUUCCACCACCAUUCUCCCCGCGCCACCCAGCCGAUGUUACACCUUCCGGCGGCGGCGCCUCCAUCCCGUCAUCAUUCUCUCGCUGAUUUCUCAUUAUCGACAUCUCUCCGCACUCGCUGAUUCCUCAGAUUUCGUAGGAAUUUGAAGUCCCAAUCGCUGAAGUCAGUUCCACAGAUGAAGUUUCCAUCGCUGAUUCCUCAUUAUCGCCGAAGUCUCCAUCUCUGAAGUCUCUAUCACAGAAAAGUGCGCCUCCAUUGCCAAAGUCAGUUCCAUAGAUCACCGCUGCUCUUGCUCUGCUGUGUUUCGUCGCUGCUCUAGGAUUUGUAGCUGCUCUCUGCGUCUUUCUCUGGUCCGUCGUGCUUCGCCGCCUCUAAGGGUAUGACAAGCGGGUCAGAGCGCGGAAAUUAUCAAAGGGAGAUCUGGUUCUCAAGCGGGCUGAUGCAUUGAAGGCAGUGGGCAAGUUCGAAGCUAAUUGGGAAGGCCCGUUUAUCAUCACAGAGGUCCUAGGGGGUGGAGCUUAUAUAUUGUCGGAUCCAGACGGCAGAGCUCUUCCUAGACCAUGGAAUAUUAACAAUCUCAAAAAGUUCUAUGUAUAACUGCUACUUAGCAGGACUAAUGCCAAUGUAGACCGGAUACUCUUUUUCCCCACAGGGGUUUUAACGAGGUCCGAGGCCAUAAUAUCAAUAAAACAGAUAUGUGGUUCUAGGGAA